rnacentral:rRNA from 1 species
CAGUCGCCGCGGUAAAACGGAGGGUGCAAGCGUUAAUCGGAAUUACUGGGCGUAAAGCGUGCGUAGGCGGUGAGUUAAGUCUGCUGUGAAAUCCCCGGGCUCAACCUGGGAAUGGCAGUGGAUACUGGCUCGCUAGAGUGUGUCAGAGGAUGGUGGAAUUCCCGGUGUGGCGGUGAAAUGCGUAGAGAUCGGGAGGAACAUCAGUGGCGAAGGCGGCCAUCUGGGACAACACUGACGCUGAGGCACGAAAGCGUGGGGAGCAAACAGGAUUAGAUACCCGCGUAGUCCCUGUCUCUUAUAC